rnacentral:rRNA from 1 species
UGGUGUGGACAACUGUCUAUGCCUUCCUUGUCUAUGUUUUCAAUACACACGUCUUUUUAUCUUUGAAUGCGUCAUGUAUAAUGAAAUACAACUUUCAACAACGGAUCUCUUGGUUCUCGCAUCGAUGAAGAACGCAGCGAAUUGCGAUAUGUAAUGUGAAUUGCAGAACUCAGUGAAUCAUCGAAUCUUUGAACGCACAUUGCACCCUUCUGGUUUUUUCCGAAGGGUAUGCCUGUUUGAGUGUCACGAAUCUAUCAACGUAGUCAAGCUUUGCCUUGCUAUGAUUGCAUGAAUGAAGGUUGCUGGAAAUCUUGUCAGCUCCUUUUAAAUCGAUUAGCGGAAAAUGCUUUCAGCUCUGGUUUGAUAAAUUUUUCUAUGCCUUUGCUGAUGCUAUCAUCU